rnacentral:rRNA from 1 species
GACUUGUACUGUGAAACUGCGAAUGGCUCAUUAAAUCAGUUAUGGUUUCUUUGAUGGUACCUUGCUACUUGGAUACCCGUAGUAAUUCUAGAGCUAAUACAUGCAGGAGUGCCCGACUUCGGAAGGGCUGUAUUUAUUAGAUAAGAAACCUUCUCGGGUUCGCCCGGUUGUGUGCUGAGUCAUAAUAACUGCUCGAAUCGCACGGCUCUACGCCGGCGAUAGUUCAUUCAAAUUUCUGCCCUAUCAGCUUUCGAUGGUAGGAUAGAGGCCUACCAUGGCGUUAACGGGUAACGGAGAAUUAGGGUUCGAUUCCGGAGAGGGAGCCUGAGAAAUGGCUACCACAUCCAAGGAAGGCAGCAGGCGCGUAAAUUGCCCGAAUCCUGACACAGGGAGGUAGUGACAAGAAAUAACAAUACAGGGCUACUUCUAGUCUUGUAAUUGGAAUGAGUACAACUUACAUCUCUUCACGAGGAUCAACUGGAGGGCAAGUCUGGUGCCAGCAGCCGCGGUAAUUCCAGCUCCAGAAGCGUAUAUUAAAGUUGUUGCAGUUAAAACGCUCGUAGUCGGGUUUCGGGUCGGGCCGAGCGGUCUGCCGAUGGGUAUGCACUGUUUGGCGCGGCCUUCUUUCCGGAGACCGCGGCUACUCUUAACUGAGCGGGCGUGGGAGACGGAUCGUUUACUUUGAAAAAAUCAGAGUGUUUCAAGCAGGCAG